rnacentral:tRNA from 2 species
GCGGGAGUAGCUCAGUUGGUAGAGCGGCAGCUUCCCAAGCUGCAGGUCGCGAGUUCGAGACUCGUCUCCCGCU